GGAAACCACGGACGUGCACCCCAGACCAUUUGGCCAGCCUGUCUGCCAGUUCUGCUCCCUGCGUUCUCUCUGGUCACCUUAUUUCCCUCCUGAGGCAGGAUUCCUCCUGUUAUCUGUACCUGCCUCCCAACCGGAUCCUCACCUUAGAAGUGGUGCUGAUACCAGUGGCAGAAGACAGAGAGAUCUGAAGCAUGGGUGGACUUCAGCGCCCAGGGAAUGUCUUGAAGCUGGAAGGGGCCGUGUGUAGAGAAACUACAGUGGCCUUGCCGAGGUGGCAGAGGCCCCCUGCUUGCAGCCAGCCAGGAAGAGGCGAGCUCAGUGUGUAAUCUCAGGGAAGUGGAUCCAGCCAGCAACCUCCCUGAUGGUGAGAGGGCUCCCCCUCAGAGCGUCCUGGUAAGAGCCCGGCAGGGCCGACAUGGUGGCUUUGGCCUUGAGAGAGCCUGAGCAGAGAGAGCCCAGUGGAGCCAUGCCAGUUUUCUGACCUAGAACUGUGAGCUAAGACGGUUGUGUUGCUUUAAGCCCCUACAUUUGCAGUAAUUUGUUAUAGCAGCAACGGGAAACGGAUGCAUGGGGCAGCAGCGACAUGCUGGGAGAGGCUGGUGACCUCCUGCUGGCCAGGGCCUCAGCUCCUCCUUUUCUUUCCUUCCUUCACAUUCUUUGCAUGGUCCCAUGACCUCUUCCCAGCUACAAAUUCUCUCCAUGAAUUUCUGCUGUGCUGGACUUUGAAAACAUUGGUAUGACCAUCACAGGAAAGAAACUCCCUCUGGAAACCGUGUAUUACUACACCUUCGUGGAGCUUCACACUGAUUCCAGACCCAGAAGGGCUACCCCGGAACUCCAGGGGAUUUUUAAAGCAGUUCCCACCUCUUCACUCAUCGUGCUGGAGGUGCUGGAAGCCAUAUUCAGUGUGAAGUGAGAGAAUGUGUAAUUUCGGUUCCGAAGAUGUUACGCUUCAUUUAUGUACAGGAGAGGUUUGUUCCGGGGGUGCCACAGCACAAUGCCAUUAGGGUGUCUGGAGGAUAAAAACAUGAACAGGGCCAUCUUCUGAUCUCUCCUCCAAACCGCUGUGUUCAAGGGAGGGGACCUCAGCUCAUUCGCAGGAGGCCAUCUUUCCACAGGGUCCUCACUGUUUCAAAAACAGGAGAAAACCUCAACAGCUCUAAAGCUGUAAUUAUGCCUUCUU